AUGUUGGUGAUGGAGGUGAUCGAGAGACUGAAGACCUGUGAGUUGACGUUGAAGGGAUGUGAACAUGACCAAGAAGAAGAUCAGUUGAUGUUCUCGUGUUGUAGGGAGAAAGAUAAGCAGAAGUACCGGAAGUUCGACAAAUCUAAAAUUGACUUCUUACAUGAGAGGCUAUAUAUGUGUUUAGUCUACAUGUAG
rnacentral:rRNA from 1 species